UACCUGCAGCUCGAGUGGUAACCGCUAUUAUUGGGCCUAAAGCGUCCGUAGCCGGUUUGGUAAAUAUCUGGGUAAAUCGUGAGGCUUAACUUCACGAAUUUCGGAUAGACUGCCAGACUUGGGAUCGGGGGAGGUCAGAGGUACUCCAGGGGUAGCGGUGAAAUGUUGUAAUCCUUGGAGGACCACCGGUAGCGAAGGCGUCUGACUAGAACGAGUCCGACGGUGAGGGACGAAGCCCUGGGGCGCAAACCGGAUUAGAUACCCGGGUAGUCCAGGGUGUAAACGAUGUGGGCUUUGUAUUGGAGGUCCCACGUGGGCGUCCAGUGCAGAAGAGAAGUUGUUAAGCCCACCGCCUGGGAAGUACGGUCGCAAGGCUAGAAACUUAAAGGAAUUGGGCGGGGGAGCACAGCGAACGGGAGGAGCGUGCGGUUU
rnacentral:rRNA from 1 species